rnacentral:rRNA from 1 species
AGAGUUUGAUCAUGGCUCAGAUUGAACGCUGGCGGCAUGCUUUACACAUGCAAGUCGAACGGUAGCAGGCCGCAAGGUGCUGACGAGUGGCGAACGGGUGAGUAAUGCAUCGGAACGUGCCCAGUCGUGGGGGAUAACGCAGCGAAAGCUGCGCUAAUACCGCAUACGAUCUAUGGAUGAAAGCGGGGGACCGUAAGGCCUCGCGCGAUUGGAGCGGCCGAUGUCAGAUUAGGUAGUUGGUGGGGUAAAGGCUCACCAAGCCGACGAUCUGUAGCUGGUCUGAGAGGACGACCAGCCACACUGGGACUGAGACACGGCCCAGACUCCUACGGAAGGCAGCAGUGGGGAAUUUUGGACAAUGGGCGCAAGCCUGAUCCAGCAAUGCCGCGUGCAGGAAGAAGGCCUUCGGGUUGUAAACUGCUUUUGUACGGAACGAAACGGCUCUGGUUAAUACCUGGGGCUAAUGACGGUACCGUAAGAAUAAGCACCGGCUAACUACGUGCCAGCAGCCGCGGUAAUACGUAGGGUGCAAGCGUUAAUCGGAAUUACUGGGCGUAAAGCGUGCGCAGGCGGUUUUGUAAGACAGACGUGAAAUCCCCGGGCUCAACCUGGGAAUGGCGUUUGUGACUGCAAAGCUGGAGUGCGGCAGAGGGGGAUGGAAUUCCGCGUGUAGCAGUGAAAUGCGUAGAUAUGCGGAGGAACACCGAUGGCGAAGGCAAUCCCCUGGGCCUGCACUGACGCUCAUGCACGAAAGCGUGGGGAGCAAACAGGAUUAGAUACCCUGGUAGUCCACGCCCUAAACGAUGUCAACUGGUUGUUGGGUCUCUUCUGACUCAGUAACGAAGCUAACGCGUGAAGUUGACCGCCUGGGGAGUACGGCCGCAAGGUUGAAACUCAAAGGAAUUGACGG